UUGGGCACGGCCGGGCACACAAAGCACCCGCAGACUUCUAAUCCGACGGUCGCAGGUUCGAAUCCUGCAGGGC
rnacentral:tRNA from 1 species